rnacentral:misc_RNA from 1 species
UCUCCGUUGGUGAACCAGCGGAGGGAUCAUUACCGAGUUUACAACUCCCAAACCCAAUGUGAACCAUACCAAACUGUUGCCUCGGCGGGCUCACGCCCCGGGUGCGUCGCAGCCCCGGAACCAGGCGCCCGCCGGAGGGACCAACCAAACUCUUUCCGUAGUCCCCUCGCGGACGUUAUUUUUACAGCUCUGAGCAAAAAUUCAAAAUGAAUCAAAACUUUCAACAACGGAUCUCUUGGUUCUG